AGCGAACACGACGAGGAGCUUGCUCCUCUGACGUUAGCGGCGGACGGGUGAGUAACACGUGGAUAACCUACCUAUAAGACUGGGAUAACUUCGGGAAACCGGAGCUAAUACCGGAUAAUAUAUUGAACCGCAUGGUUCAAUAGUGAAAGACGGUUUUGCUGUCACUUAUAGAUGGAUCCGCGCCGCAUUAGCUAGUUGGUAAGGUAACGGCUUACCAAGGCAACGAUGCGUAGCCGACCUGAGAGGGUGAUCGGCCACACUGGAACUGAGACACGGUCCAGACUCCUACGGGAGGCAGCAGUAGGGAAUCUUCCGCAAUGGGCGAAAGCCUGACGGAGCAACGCCGCGUGAGUGAUGAAGGUCUUCGGAUCGUAAAACUCUGUUAUUAGGGAAGAACAAAUGUGUUAGUAACUAUGCACGUCUUGACGGUACCUAAUCAGAAAGCCACGGCUAACUACGUGCCAGCAGCCGCGGUAAUACGUAGGUGGCAAGCGUUAUCCGGAAUUAUUGGGCGUAAAGCGCGCGUAGGCGGUUUUUUAAGUCUGAUGUGAAAGCCCACGGCUCAACCGUGGAGGGUCAUUGGAAACUGGAAAACUUGAGUGCAGAAGAGGAAAGUGGAAUUCCAUGUGUAGCGGUGAAAUGCGCAGAGAUAUGGAGGAACACCAGUGGCGAAGGCGACUUUCUGGUCUGUAACUGACGCUGAUGUGCGAAAGCGUGGGGAUCGAACAGGAUUAGAUACCCUGGU
rnacentral:rRNA from 1 species